rnacentral:rRNA from 1 species
GAUGAACGCUGGCGGCGUGCUUAACACAUGCAAGUCGAACGGAAAGGCUCCUGCUUGCAGGGGUACUCGAGUGGCGAACGGGUGAGUAACACGUGGGUGAUCUGCCCUGCACUUCGGGAUAAGCCUGGGAAACUGGGUCUAAUACCGGAUAGGACGAUGGUUUGGAUGCCAUUGUGGAAAGUUUUUCGGUGUGGGAUGAGCUCGCGGCCUAUCAGCUUGUUGGUGGGGUAAUGGCCUACCAAGGCGUCGACGGGUAGCCGGCCUGAGAGGGUGUACAGCCACAUUGGGACUGAGAUACGGCCCAGACUCCUACGGGAGGCAGCAGUGGGGAAUAUUGCACAAUGGGCGCAAGCCUGAUGCAGCGACGCCGCGUGGGGGAUGACGGCCUUCGGGUUGUAAACUCCUUUCGCUAGGGACGAAGCGCAAGUGACGGUACCUGGAGAAGAAGCACCGGCUAACUACGUG